rnacentral:rRNA from 1 species
AGAGUUUGAUCCUGGCUCAGGAUGAACGCCGGCGGUGUGCCUAAUACAUGCAAGUCGUACGCACUGGCCCAACUGAUUGAUGGUGCUUGCACCUGAUUGACGAUGGAUCACCAGUGAGUGGCGGACGGGUGAGUAACACGUAGGUAACCUGCCCCGGAGCGGGGGAUAACAUUUGGAAACAGAUGCUAAUACCGCAUAACAACAAAAGCCACAUGGCUUUUGUUUGAAAGAUGGCCUUGGCUAUCACUCUGGGAUGGACCUGCGGUGCAUUAGCUAGUUGGUAAGGUAACGGCUUACCAAGGCGAUGAUGCAUAGCCGAGUUGAGAGACUGAUCGGCCACAAUGGAACUGAGACACGGUCCAUACUCCUACGGGAGGCAGCAGUAGGGAAUCUUCCACAAUGGGCGCAAGCCUGAUGGAGCAACACCGCGUGAGUGAAGAAGGGUUUCGGCUCGUAAAGCUCUGUUGUUGGAGAAGAACGUGCGUGAGAGUAACUGUUCACGCAGUGACGGUAUCCAACCAGAAAGUCACGGCUAACUACGUGCCAGCAGCCGCGGUAAUACGUAGGUGGCAAGCGUUAUCCGGAUUUAUUGGGCGUAAAGCGAGCGCAGGCGGUUGCUUAGGUCUGAUGUGAAAGCCUUCGGCUUAACCGAAGAAGUGCAUCGGAAACCGGGCGACUUGAGUGCAGAAGAGGACAGUGGAACUCCAUGUGUAGCGGUGGAAUGCGUAGAUAUAUGGAAGAACACCAGUGGCGAAGGCGGCUGCCUGGUCUGCAACUGACGCUGAGGCUCGAAAGCAUGGGUAGCGAACAGGAUUAGAUACCCUGGUAGUCCAUACCGUAAACGAUGAGUGCUAGGUGUUGGAGGGUUUCCCGCCCUUCAGUGCCGGAGCUAACGCAUUAAGCACUCCGCCUGGGGAGUACGACCGCAAGGUUGAAACUCAAAGGAAUUGACGGGGGCCCGCACAAGCGGUGGAGCAUGUGGUUUAAUUCGAAGCUACGCGAAGAACCUUACCAGGUCUUGACAUCUUGCGCUAACCUUAGAGAUAAGGCGUUCCCUUCGGGGACGCAAUGACAGGUGGUGCAUGGUCGUCGUCAGCUCGUGUCGUGAGAUGUUGGGUUAAGUCCCGCAACGAGCGCAACCCUUGUUACUAGUUGCCAGCAUUAAGUUGGGCACUCUAGUGAGACUGCCGGUGACAAACCGGAGGAAGGUGGGGACGACGUCAGAUCAUCAUGCCCCUUAUGACCUGGGCUACACACGUGCUACAAUGGACGGUACAACGAGUCGCAAGCUCGCGAGAGUAAGCUAAUCUCUUAAAGCCGUUCUCAGUUCGGACUGUAGGCUGCAACUCGCCUACACGAAGUCGGAAUCGCUAGUAAUCGCGGAUCAGCAUGCCGCGGUGAAUACGUUCCCGGGCCUUGCACACACCGCCCGUCA